UCUGGUUGAUCCCGGCAGAGGUCACUGCUAUCGGUGUUCGUCUAAGCCAUGCGAGUCAUAUGUUCUUUGUGAACAUGGCGUACUGCUCAGUAACACGUGGAUAACCUGCCCUUGGGUCCGGCAUAACCCCGGGAAACUGGGGAUAAUACCGGAUAACGCAUAUAUGCUGGAAUUCUUUAUGCGUGAAACGGAUUCGUCUGCCCAAGGAUGGGUCUGCGGCCUAUCAGGUAGUAGUGGGUGUAAUGUACCUACUAGCCGACGACGGGUACGGGUUGUGAGAGCAAGAGCCCGGAGAUGGAUUCUGAGACAUGAAUCCAGGCCCUACGGGGCGCAGCAGGCGCGAAAACUUUACAAUGCGGGAAACCGUGAUAAGGGGACACCGAGUGCCAGCAUCAUAUGCUGGCUGUCCGGGUGUGUAAAAUACACCUGUUAGCAAGGGCCGGGCAAGACCGGUGCCAGCCGCCGCGGUAACACCGGCGGCCCGAGUGGUGAUCGUGAUUAUUGGGUCUAAAGGGUCCGUAGCCGGUUUGGUCAGUCCUCCGGGAAAUCUGACGGCUUAACCGUUAGGCUUUCGGGGGAUACUGCCAGACUUGGAACCGGGAGAGGUAAGAGGUACUACAGGGGUAGGAGUGAAAUCUUGUAAUCCCUGUGGGACCACCUGUGGCGAAGGCGUCUUACCAGAACGGGUUCGACGGUGAGGGACGAAAGCUGGGGGCACGAACCGGAUUAGAUACCCGGGUAGUCCCAGCCGUAAACGAUGCUCGCUAGGUGUCAGGCAUGGCGCGACCGUGUCUGGUGCCGCAGGGAAGCCGUGAAGCGAGCCACCUGGGAAGUACGGCCGCAAGGCUGAAACUUAAAGGAAUUGGCGGGGGAGCACAACAACGGGUGGAGCCUGCGGUUUAAUUGGACUCAACGCCGGACAACUCACCGGGGGCGACAGCAAUAUGUAGGUCAGGCUGAAGACCUUGCCUGAAUCGCUGAGAGGAGGUGCAUGGCCGUCGCCAGUUCGUACUGUGAAGCAUCCUGUUAAGCCAGGCAACGAGCGAGACCCA
rnacentral:rRNA from 1 species